CCUACGGGAGGCAGCAGUGAGGAAUAUUGGUCAAUGGGCGAGAGCCUGAACCAGCCAAGUCGCGUGAAGGAUGACGGCCCUACGGGUUGUAAACUUCUUUUGUCAGGGAGCAAUUGAGUCCACGUGUGGUCUUAGCGAGAGUACCUGAAGAAACAGCAUCGGCUAACUACGUGCCAGCAGCAGCGGUAAUACGUAGGGGGCAAGCGUUAUCCGGAUUUACUGGGUGUAAGGGGCGUGUAGGCGGGGACGCAAGUCAGAUGUGAAAACCACGGGCUCAACCUGUGGCCUGCAUUUGAAACUGUGUGUCUUGAGUACUGGAGAGGCAGACGGAAUUCCUAGUGUAGCGGUGAAAUGCGUAGAUAUUAGGAGGAACACCAGUGGCGAAGGCGGUCUGCUGGACAGCAACUGACGCUGAGGCGCGAAAGCGUGGGGAGCAAACAGGAUUAGAUACCCGGGUAGUC
rnacentral:rRNA from 1 species